UUAAAAAGCUCGUAGUUGAACCUUGGGCCUGGCUGACCUGUCCUCCUAAUCGAGCGCACGGGUUCGGUCGGGCCUUUCCUUCUGGGGAUCCCGAUGCCCUUCACUGGGCGUCGUGGGGAACCAGGACUUUUACCUUGAAAAAAUUAGAGUGUUCAAAGCAGGCCUUUGCUCGAAUACAUUAGCACGGAAUAAUAGAAUAGGACAGAGGUUCUAUUUUGUUGGUUUCUAGGACCGCUGUAAUGAUUAAUAGGGAUAGUCGGGGG
rnacentral:rRNA from 1 species